UACGUAGGGUGCAAGCGUUGUCCGGAUUUACUGGGCGUAAAGAGCGCGCAGGCGGUCGUCCAAGUCGCGUGUGAAAGCUCCCGGCUCAACUGGGGAGGGUCACGCGAUACUGGUCGACUCGAAGGCAGGAGAGGGUAGUGGAAUUCCCGGUGUAGUGGUGAAAUGCGUAGAUAUCGGGAGGAACACCAGUGGCGAAGGCGACUACCUGGCCUGUUCUUGACGCUGAGGCGCGAAAGCUAGGGGAGCAAACGGG
rnacentral:rRNA from 1 species